rnacentral:rRNA from 1 species
GACGAACGCUGGCGGCGUGCUUAACACAUGCAAGUCGAACGGAAAGGCCCUGCUUUUGUGGGGUGCUCGAGUGGCGAACGGGUGUGUAACACGUGAGUAACCUGCCCUUUACUUUGGGAUAACUUCAGGAAACUGGGGCUAAUACCUGAUAGGAGCUCCUGCUGCAUGGUGGGGGUUGGACAGUUUCGGCGGGUGGGGAUGGACUCGCGGCUUAUCAGCUUGUUGGUGGGGUAGUGGCUUACCAAGGCUUUGACGGGUAGCCGGCCUGAGAGGGUGACCGGCGACAAUGGGACUGAGAGAGGGACCAGACUGCUACGGGAGGCAGCAGGGGGGAAUAUGGCACAAUGGGCGGAAGUCUGAUGCAGAAACGCCGCGUGCGGGAUGACGGCCUUCGGGUUGUAAACCGCUUUCGCCUGUGACGAAGCGUGAGUGACGGUAAUGGGUAAAGAAGCACCGGCUAACUACGUG